UUCUAUCAACAAAUUUUUUUCUUAUCCUAGUUUAUAAAUCACAACCCCAAAUCUACAAUUUUUAUUUACAAAAAUGAAAAUUUUCCUAAAAUAGAAUUUUUGAGAAUUUUAUUUUUAAAAUACAACCUAUUGAUAAAAAAAUCUAAAAGAAUACUCCUCUAUCAACAAAAGUUUUUCUUAUCCUAGUUUAUAAAUCACAACCCCAAAUCUACAAUAUUUAUCUAUAAAAAUGAAAACUUUCCUAAAAUAGAAUUUUUGAAAAAUUUAUUUAAAAAAUUCAAUAUAUUGAUAAAAAAAUCAAACAAAAUACUCUUCUAUCAACAAAAAUUCUUGUUGUCCUAAUCUCUAAACCACAACCCCAAAUCUACAAUAUUUCUCUACAAAAAUAAAAACUUUCAUAAAAUAGAAUUUUUGAGAAUUUUAUUUUUAAAAUACAACCUUUUGAUCAAAAAAUCUAAAAGAGUACUCUUCUACCAACAAAAGUUUUUCUUAUCAUAGUUUAUAAAUCACAACCCCAAAUCUACAAUAUUUAUCUAUAAAAAUGAAAACUUUCCUAAAAUAGAAUUUUUGAAUAAAUUAUUUAAAAAAUACAAUAUAUUGAUAAAAAAAAUCAAACAAAAUACUCUUCUAUCAACAAGAAUUCUUGUUGUCCUAAUUUCUAAACCACAAUCCCAAAUGUACAAUAUUUAUCUACAAAAAUGAAAACUUUCCUAAAAUAGAAUUUUUGAAAAAAUUAUUU
rnacentral:lncRNA from 1 species